rnacentral:lncRNA from 1 species
CGGCUCAGCUGCAGUACCUGGGCGUCCUGGAGYUGGUGAAGAUCUUCAGGUUCGGGUACCCCGUGCGCCUUUCCUUCGCGGAUUUCCUGUCGAGGUACAAGCCCUUGGCGGAUACACUCCUGCGCCAGAAGGAGGAGCAGCCCCCGGAGGAGAGGUGCCGGCUUCUUCUGCAGCAGUGUCAACUACAGGGCUGGCAGGUGGGAGUCCGCAAGGUGUUCCUGAAACACGGGCAUGCCGACCAGCUGCACAGUCUCUGCCUGCAGCUGCAGAGGAGCAUCAUCACCUGCCAGAAAGUCAUACGAGGGUUUCUAGCAC